rnacentral:lncRNA from 1 species
UUCACUCCCCACCCCCAUCCCUCAGCAUCUGAGCUCUACCUGAGGGUGUCAAGUCACCUCUGUGAGCCUUGGUUUCCCCAUCUGUGAGCAGGUGGAUCUGAGUUCCAAGGUUCCUUCCAGCCAUCUGUGUGAGACACCCCCACACGGUGUCCAGUAACAGCAGGUGCAUAAUAAAUGUGUUUGUGGACCUACCCUCCCCAGUGCUGGGCACAAGGGCACACAGAGGAGAAAUAUGAGUAAAUGUCGCCUUUGUCCAGGAAAUGGGGACCCAGACCGCUGGACACACACCGGACAACAGCCGGCCCUCACAUUUGUGCUGGAUGGUACCGUCUACAAAGGGAUUUUGCUGCGUGUGCUGCUCCCUGUGAUUCUCAUGGAGGAAACUCCACAUCUCAGGCUGAGGGCAAUUUGUGAUGGACUGUGGCUUGUGGUGAGAGAAGCACCAACCAAGUUCACCGCAGCCUCAAGUAGAGGUGAGGGUUGGGGCCAGACACAGGGCUGUGGGGGCGGCAGGGGCACCUAGGCAGCACUGCCACCUUCCUGUUUGUCAGCCAAGAGAGGCUGCGGAGGGCAACACACAAGUGGGUCACCGCUCAGGCUGGCUACCGCUGCCAGGCCAGCCUGGGCAGGUCGGUGCCGCCAGAGCCAGAGGCUUCCCCAGGACCUGAGGUGUCCUGGCUCCUGGGAACUGCAGCAAACUCUCUGGCCAGCCCUGCUUUAUGUGUAAAUCCCUUUAAUUUGCAUAACAAGCCUAGAAAAAAACAAUACCCAUUUUGCCGAUGAGGAAACUGAGGCAUAGAGAAGUUAAGUAACUUCCACAAAGUCAUCGGUAAGUGACAAAGCCAGGCUUUAUUCUCUUAUUCAUUAUGCCACAUGGUUAAGUAAUUAACACGAGUAGAUGUAUGUAUGUUUAAUUGAUUAAAAGUCAUGAGUAGCAACAAUUUCACUGCUUCCUGAUUCAUCUCCCUGAACCCCAUCUUGAUAAUGUCUUUACCCUGUGUAAAAGCAUCCAUUAGCUCUUCCUGCCAAUUUAUAAAGUAGAAAUCCUUAAUCUGUCAUCCAAAGCCCUCUUUCCUGUCCAAUUUCCCCCCUUUCCCCCAGAAUUCUAGUAACAGCUCUUUCCCUACCUGCCUUACUAGCUCAGUGGGACUGACUCCCACCCUUGCUGUGCUUCAGACCAGUCAUAUGCCCAGACUUGGCCAAUCAUGUCACAGACUCCCCCAGCCAUCGUGGGUGGUUUAGGGAGAGACACAUGACCCAGCAGAGCCAAUGAGGAUCUGUUCUGGGACUUCUCUCUGAACUCUUGGGAAAAGAAAACCUCUGGAGUUCCCGUCGUGGCACAGUGGUUAACGAAUCCGACUAGGAACCAUGAGGUUGCGGGUUCGAUCCCUGGCCUUGCUCAGUGGGUUAAGGAUCCGGCGUUGCCAUGAGCUGUGGUGUAGGUUGCAGACGCGGCUCGGAUCCCGCGUUGCUGUGGCUGUGGUGUAGGCUGGCAGCUACAGCUCCGAUUAGACCCCUAGCCUGGGAACCUCCAUAUGCCGUGAGAGUGGCCCAAGAAAUGGCAAAAAGGCAAAAAAAAAAGAAAAAAGAAAAGAAAAGAAAGAAAGAAAAUCUCUCCUAAAGAUGGGGUGCCUGGGCGAAUAAAACUGAGCCAGGAGCUGCCUGCAGCCCCUGUUCCCCUUGACUUCCAAAUAGUUUUCACUCCUUUGAAUAAUUCUGAAUCGUAAUUUUCUCCUACAGUCUUCAUUUCACCAGUAAUAUCACAGCACUCAAGGGCUUACAUGGUUUCACAAAUUUAUGGUGUUCAAAGCUGGCUUUAACCUUCUGGCUUCCCUGGCCACAGUGGCGGUCUGAGUCUUGCUUGCUUUCUGCUGAUGGCGGGGAAGGACUUAGCCUACCUGCCCUUCCUCCAGGGUUGGUUCUCAGACUGCAGAUGCUCUGCCUCACUCUUCUCUCACGGGGGCAACAAAAGAGAGUUGGGAAAUGGCCCUAAAUGGACCAGAGGCUGGUGGUGAAGCAGAGAGAAGUUCAAAGUUGGGGCUAGAAGACUUCGGUUAGAGUCUAAACUUUGCCAUUUACUAAUGUUAAACACGAGCGUUCUCGUGCACAUUAGUUAAUCUCCCCGAGGCUCAGUUUCUCCAUCCGUAAAAUGGGUACUUCUGGAAGGUAAACGAGAUGUGAUCUCAUCUAGGCUGUAGGCUGUAGAGCACCAUGCUUCUUGGUUGUUGCCUUAAGGAUAGAAACGGGUUUUUCCUCUCCCGGGUGUCACUGAACUUCUAAUCAUUGUGAGAUGGGUGACUGAGGGCAGGUCUUUGAACACCCAGAUGAGGUGUCGCUGUAGCAUCCUCAGCCAGCGUCAACCAUAUAUGGACCCUGGGUCAGAGUUUGCAAAUUAAGUGACUAAAUGAGAAUUGUGUCCAAAGACAAAUGUAGACAUUGUCUUACUUUAGUUUUGGUUAUUCUAAGGGACCCUGCUGCCCACAGUAAAAUAUUGCACAGAACUCAGCAAUUCCAUGUUGAAACUGAGACCCUAUUUGUGACUUAAAGUGACUUCAGAACUCUCUUUUACCUAAGAGUGGACAGAAAAGGCCUGGGCCUGCAGGAGUUUUCAUUCCGAAACAGGGGCAAAUACUCAUGAAAGAAAACGUAAACGUAGGUGGAGGACAAAGCAUUGUGUUUUGAUGAUACUAGGAAUUGUGCUGGUUCAGUGAACCAUUUAUACCUGCAAUUGCAGAAGUUAUGAGGGAACCUGAGAGUCUAAAGUUAGACCCAAAAUGGAGGAGUUCCCGUCAUGGCUAAGUGGUUAAUGAAUCCGACUAGGAACCAUGAGGUUGGGGGUUCGAUCCCUGGCCUUGCUCAGCGGGUUAAGGAUCCCGCGUUGCUGUGGCUGUGGUGUAGGCCACAGACACAGCUCAGAUCCCAUGUUGCUGUGGCUGUGGCAUAGCCUGGUGGCUACAGCUCCAAUCCAACCCCUAGCCUGGGAACCUCCAUAUUUUGAGGGUGUGGCCCUAAAAAGCCAAAAAAAGAAAAAAAAAAAAAGUUAGAUCCAGAAGCCUCUGAGGGCAUGGGGGCAGGAGGUGGGGAGUCUCUUGGCUAAAAGUAUGAAUUAAACCCCCAAAGUCUUCCCAGCCUAUUGCCCCCGUUCCUGGGGCCUCCGUCCUUGAAUCUCACGGCCUCUCCCAGGGGCUGCUAAAAGUCUAAAAGUCUGAGUCAGUUCCUAAACCUCCCUCCCCCAGGCCCCAGUUGUAGGAAGGGGUGCGCCUGAGCAGCAAGCCAAGCCCUAUUCAGUCUGGACCCAGAUUCUCAGCCAUGGGCUGGUCUGGGGUCUGGGCGGUGGCCAGCCCAUGAGUGGUCAUUACCGCCGAGGCACAGGAAGCUAAUGUGGGUCCCCCAGGCCCCCACCUCCAUGUGGGCAGUGAAUGGCCCUGGCCCUGGGUAAGAUGGUAUCAGCAGGCACCUGCCCACUCCUUGCUGGGUUCCCAGGCCCCUGGAGCCCUCUUGUAAUAGAAGCCAU